UGCUGAAUCAUUCGCCAAUGCGCGAAAGCGUGACGGUGCGACGCCGCGUGAAGGAUGAAGGCCCUCGGGUCGUAAACUUCUGUCAGGUCCUAGGAAACCGCAGUGGUUAAUAGCCGCUGCGCUGACCAGGUCCAAAGGAAGCACAGGCUAAUCUCGUGCCAGCAGCCGCGGUAAUACGAGGUGUGCGAGCGUUGUUCGGUGUUAUUGGGCGUAAAGGGUGUGUAGGCGGCCUGGUCAGUCAGAUGUGAAAUCCCCCGGCUUAACCGAGGAACUGCAUCUGAUACUGCCAGGCUUGAGUUCGGCAGGGGCAAGCGGAAUUCCAGGUGUAGCGGUGGAAUGCGUAGAUAUCUGGGAGAACGCCGAAGGCGAAGGCAGCUUGCUGGGCCGAAUCUGACGCUGGGACACGAAAGCUAGGGAGCAAACA
rnacentral:rRNA from 1 species